CCUACGGGAGGCUGCAGUAGGGAAUCUUCCACAAUGGGCGAAAGCCUGAUGGAGCAACGCCGCGUGGGUGAAGAAGGUCUUCUGAUCGUAAAACCCUGUUGUUAGAGAAGCAAGUGCGUGAGAGUACCUGUUCACGUUUCGACGGUAUCUACCCAGAAAGCCACGGCUAACUACGUGCCAUCAGCCGCGGUAAUACGUAGGUGGCAAGCGUUAUCCGGAUUUAUUGGGCGUAAAGGGCACGCAGGCGGUCUUUUAAGUCUGAUGUGAAAGCCUUCGGCUUAACCGGAGUAGUGCAUUGGAAACUGGGAGACUUGAGUGCAGAAGAGGAGAGUGGAACUCCAUGUGUAGCGGUGAAAUGCGUAGAUAGAUGGAAGAACACCAGUGGCGAAAGCGGCUCUCUGGGCUGUAACUGACGCUGAGGUUCGAAAGCGUGGGUAGCAAACAGGAUUAGAUACCCUUGUAGUC
rnacentral:rRNA from 1 species